CGCUAUUCCUGGGGGAGCCCACACGGGCUGAGACUCCGCCACACCGGCGGUAACCCUUAGAACCUGAUCCGGGUAAUGCCGGCGAAGGGAAGGAAACGAAGGAUCCU
rnacentral:ncRNA from 2 species